rnacentral:tRNA from 1 species
GCGGGGUAGCUCAGUUGGUUAGAGCGUCGGAUUCAUAAUCCGGAGGUCGCGGGAUCGUAGCCCGCCC